AACGAACGCUGGCGGCAGGCCUAACACAUGCAAGUCGAACGCCCUAGCAAUAGGGAGUGGCAGACGGGUGAGUAACACGUGGGAACCUUCCCUAUAGUAUGGAAUAGCCCAGGGAAACUUGGAGUAAUACCGUAUACGCCCGAGAGGGGAAAGAUUUUAUCGCUAUAGGAUGGGCCCGCGUAGGAUUAGCUAGUUGGUGAGGUAAUGGCUCACCAAGGCGACGAUCCUUAGCUGGUCUGAGAGGACGACCAGCCACACUGGGACUGAGACACGGCCCAGACUCCUACGGGAGGCAGCAGUGGGGAAUAUUGGACAAUGGGCGCAAGCCUGAUCCAGCCAUGCCGCGUGAGUGAUGAAGGCCUUAGGGUUGUAAAGCUCUUUUGCCGGGGACGAUAAUGACGGUACCCGGAGAAUAAGUCCCGGCUAACUUCGUG
rnacentral:rRNA from 1 species